rnacentral:rRNA from 1 species
CCUACGGGAGGCAGCAGUGGGGGAUAUUGCACAAUGGAGGAAACUCUGAUGCAGCAACGCCGCGUGAAGGAAGACGGUCUUCGGAUUGUAAACUUUUGUACCUAGGGACGAUAAUGACGGUACCUAGGUAGCAAGCUCCGGCUAACUACGUGCCAGCAGCCGCGGUAAUA